rnacentral:misc_RNA from 1 species
CUCACUCCUCGGUGCUUAUCUUUUGUCUCAUAAGAAUUGCACCGGAUGAUGAAGGUUGCUGAUGACUCGGCUCCUUUCAAAUGCAUGAGCAGAAAACGAGCACUGACAGCUUCGGUUUGAUAUGUUACUGAACCGUUGCUGCGGUCGCCUGUCUGCUGCUGGUCUCUCAAGAGACUGUCUGCCUUGUGCAGGCAAUAAUCAUUUCAA